rnacentral:rRNA from 1 species
UGGUGGGGUGAUUUGUCUGGUUAAUUCCGAUAACGAACGAGACCUUAGCCUGCUAAAUAGUUACGUGUAACUUCGGUUGUGCGGGCAACUUCUUAGAGGGACUUUGUGUGUCUAACGCAAGGAAGUUUGAGGCAAUAACA